CAUUGAAACACCAGUUCUCAUACAAUCACCAAAGUUAAGCAAUGUUGAGCCCUGUCAGUACCUAGAUGGGUGACUGCUUAGGAAUACCAGGUGCUGUAAG